rnacentral:rRNA from 1 species
AUUGAACGCUGGCGGCAGGCCUAACACAUGCAAGUCGAGCGGAUGAGAGGAGCUUGCUUCUCGAUUCAGCGGCGGACGGGUGAGUAAUGCCUAGGAAUCUGCCUGGUAGUGGGGGACAACGUCUCGAAAGGAACGCUAAUACCGCAUACGUCCUACGGGAGAAAGCAGGGGACCUUCGGGGCUCGCGCUAUCAGAUGGUCCUAGGUCCGAGUAGCUAGUUGGUGAGGUAAUGGCUCACCAAGGCGACGAUCCGUAGCUGGUCUGGGAGGAUGAUCAGUCACACUGGAAGUGAGACAUGGUCCAGACUCCUACGGGAGGCAGCAGUGGGGAAUAUUGGACAAUGGGCGAAAGCCUGAUCCAGCCAUGCCGCGUGUGUGAAGAAGGUCUUCGGAUUGUAAAGCACUUUAAGUUGGGAGGAAGGGUUGUAGAUUAAUACUCUGCAAUUUUGACGUUACCGACAGAAUAAGCACCGGCUAACUCUGUGCCAGCAGCCGCCGUAACAC